AUUAACGAUGAUGAGCUCUACAGACCUGUAAUGAUUUGCGAAAAUGAUCGCAGUUCUUAAUGAACAUCUAAGGGACUGAGUUGUU
rfam:Solanum tuberosum cultivar DM 1-3 516 R44 scf00226_39, whole genome shotgun sequence.